CGGUAGCUAAUACCGCAUAACGUCGCAAGACCAAAGAGGGGGACCUUCGGGCCUCUUGCCAUCGGAUGUGCCCAGAUGGGAUUAGCUAGUAGGUGGGGUAACGGCUCACCCAGGCGACGAUCCCUAGCUGGUCUGAGAGGAUGACCAGCCACACUGGAACUGAGACACGGUCCAGACUCCUACGGGAGGCAGCAGUGGGGAAUAUUGCACAAUGGGCGCAAGCCUGAUGCAGCCAUGCCGCGUGUAUGAAGAAGGCCUUCGGGUUGUAAAGUACUUUCAGCGGGGAGGAAGGGAGUAAAGUUAAUACCUUUGCUCAUUGACGUUACCCGCAGAAGAAGCACCGGCUAACUCCGUGCCAGCAGCCGCGGUAAUACGGAGGGUGCAAGCGUUAAUCGGAAUUACUGGGCGUAAAGCGCACGCAGGCGGUUUGUUAAGUCAGAUGUGAAAUCCCCGGGCUCAACCUGGGAACUGCAUCUGAUACUGGCAAGCUUGAGUCUCG
rnacentral:rRNA from 1 species